rnacentral:rRNA from 1 species
GAUGAACGCUGGCGGCGUGCCUAAUACAUGCAAGUCGAGCGAACAGACGAGGAGCUUGCUCCUCUGACGUUAGCGGCGGACGGGUGAGUAACACGUGGAUAACCUACCUAUAAGACUGGGAUAACUUCGGGAAACCGGAGCUAAUACCGGAUAAUAUAUUGAACCGCAUGGUUCAAUAGUGAAAGACGGUUUUGCUGUCACUUAUAGAUGGAUCCGCGCCGCAUUAGCUAGUUGGUAAGGUAACGGCUUACCAAGGCGACGAUGCGUAGCCGACCUGAGAGGAUGAUCAGCCACACUGGAACUGAGACACGGUCCAGACUCCUACGGGAGGCAGCAGUAGGGAAUCUUCCGCAAUGGGCGAAAGCCUGACGCAGCAACGCCGCGUGAGUGAUGAAGGUCUUCGGAUCGUAAAGCUCUGUUGUUAGGAAAGAACAAAUGUGUAAGUAACUAUGCACGUCUUGACGGUACCUAAUCAGAAAGCCACGGCUAACUACGUG